rnacentral:rRNA from 1 species
UUUCCCUCUGGCGGCAGGCCUAACACAUGCGAGUCGAGCGGAUGAAGGGAGCUUGCUCCUGGAUUCAGCGGCGGACGGGUGAGUAAUGCCUAGGAAUCUGCCUGGUAGUGGGGGAUAACGUCCGGAAACGGGCGCUAAUACCGCAUACGUCCUGAGGGAGAAAGUGGGGGAUCUUCGGACCUCACGCUAUCAGAUGAGCCUAGGUCGGAUUAGCUAGUUGGUGGGGUAAAGGCCUACCAAGGCGACGAUCCGUAACUGGUCUGAGAGGAUGAUCAGUCACACUGGAACUGAGACACGGUCCAGACUCCUACGGGAGGCAGCAGUGGGGAAUAUUGGACAAUGGGCGAAAGCCUGAUCCAGCCAUGCCGCGUGUGUGAAGAAGGUCUUCGGAUUGUAAAGCACUUUAAGUUGGGAGGAAGGGCAGUAAGUUAAUACCUUGCUGUUUUGACGUUACCAACAGAAUAAGCACCGGCUAACUUCGUG